rnacentral:rRNA from 1 species
UAGUCCACGCCGUAAACGAUGAGUGCUAGCUGUCGGGACAUUAGUCUCGGUGGCGCAGCUAACGCAGUAAGCACUCCGCCUGGGAAGUACGGUCGCAAGAUUAAAACUCAAAGGAAUUGACGGGGACCCGCACAAGCGGUGGAGCAUGUGGUUUAAUUCGAGGCAACGCGAAGAACCUUACCAGGACUUGGCAUCCUCAUCGCGCGCACCAGAGAUGGAGCGUUUCAGUUCGGCUGGAUAAGUGACAGGUGCUGCACGGCUGUCGUCAGCUCGUGUCGUGAGAUGUUGGGUUAAGUCCCGCAACGAGCGCAACCCCUGCUGUCAGUUGCCAUCAUUAAGUUGGGAACUCUGGCGGGACUGCCGGUGAUAAGCCGGAGGAAGGAGGGGACGACGUCAAGUCAUCAUGGCCCUUACGGGCUGGGCUACACACGUGCUACAAUGGCAGUGACAAUGGGCAGCGACCUUGCGAGAGGAAGCGAAUCCC